CAGCCGCCGCGGGAAUACGAAGGUCCCAAGCGUUGUUCGGAAUCACUGGGCGUAAAGGGAGCGUAGGCGGCGUGGUAAGUCUGCUGUGAAAGCCCUGGGCUCAACCUGGGAAUUGCAGUGGAUACUGGGCAACUAGAGUAAGGUAGAGGAUAGUGGAAUUUCCGGUGUAGCAGUGAAAUGCGUAGAGAUCGGAAGGAACACCGAUGGCGAAGGCAAUCCCCUGGGCCUGCACUGACGCUCAUGCACGAAAGCGUGGGGAGCAAACAGGAUUAGAUACCCCGGUAGUCCCUGUCUCUUAUAC
rnacentral:rRNA from 1 species